UGAUAGAAGGAAAAUGAAUUAGGAAACUGUACAUGACGAAAUGCGAAGUCAGAGAGUCUGUUCCGUCCUUACAUAAGGCUUAAAUGGGGCUCUGAAGAUUCACAACGAUACAAUAAUACCAUGUAGAGGGAUUGUACUCCCUUGUCAGUAACAGAUUCAACGGAAGUGGAAGCGACUGCCUCGGCUCAUGUCACCAACACGUCCAACACAAGACUGAAUGUAGUAAAUACUGAAAAGCGCUGCAAAGCGUAAUCAAGUGGAUGCCAUUGUAAGUAAAAAGCGUGCAGUACAUUCUCAAAUGAAUCAGAGCAUUCCACUAGUGGACGAUAACAUCCCCGAUAUCAACACCAUGCACCUACUCCGUCCUAGUCAAAAAGACUGAAUCCCAUGUCAUCGUCAGACUCUUCCUUUUCCUCAACCUUCUCCUCCUCCUUGGCAGCAGCUGCGGGAGCAGAUGAAGACUCAGUAGCGGCAGGUGCAGCUGCUACAGCAAACUUAGAGGGGUCCUUGAGGUACUCCUUGGUCUUCUCAGCAAGAGGGAAAGAGUACUCAGUCUCCACAGCAAUAGCCAACAAGUUCUUGUACGAGUUGACGAAGGAGUGGGGGACAGCAGCCAAGGUGGGGUAGUUCAGGGCCAGUGACACUGCAGCCACAGUGGAGACACCAGCAGCGAACUUGUCCAACAGGUCGUCUUCGGUCAGGUCCAACACCUCAGGUGCGAAGACUGAACCGUUGUCGUAGAUGUUCACAACGACAAGACCGUAAGAGAAUGGCCUGAUGCCCAACUUCGCCAAAAGCGCAGCCUCGGACGAUCCGACCUUGUCACCCUUGUGGACAAGCUCGACAGGGGCGAUAAUCUCGACAGUACCCUUGUUAAUCUUGGUGGGAAUGUUAAGGACCUGGAGAGUUCAGCAUUCUAUUCGUCAGAAACCUUCAGUUAACAGCGUUUCAUAACUGCCAUAAAGAACGACAUCAGAAAAAGGACACUUGCCCACUGCGAUAAGCUAAAUUGACUGACUGGAAUCUCAUUCAUAGAACAUACCAUAUACCGAAGACCUUACCUGG
rnacentral:lncRNA from 1 species